GGGCUGCAGUAUAUUGACUGUACAAAGGUAGCAUAAUCAUUAGUCAUUUAAUUGAUGACUUGUAUGAAAGAUUGGAUGAAAUAUAGACUGUCUCUUAAUUAAAUUAUAGAAUUUAAUUUUUUAAUUAAAAAGUUAAAAUAAAUUAAAAAGACGAGAAGACCCUAUAGAGUUUUAUGUUUAAAUUAGUUGAGAUUAUUUAUAUAAUUAUUAAUUAAAAUUAUUUUAAAUAUUUUGUUGGGGUGACAAAAAAAUAUAAAUAACUUUUUUUAUUAUUUAACAUAUAUAAGUGAAUGUAUGAUCCAAUAUUAUUGAUUAUAAGAAAAAAUUACCUUAGGGAUAACAGCGUAAUUUUUUUUUUUAGUUCAAAUAAGAAAAAGAGUUUGCGACCUCGAUGUUGGAUUAAGAUAAAAUUUAAAUG
rnacentral:rRNA from 1 species